CCUACGGGAGGCAGCAGUGAGGAAUAUUGGUCAAUGGACGCAAGCCUGAACCAGCCAUGUAGCGUGCAGGAUGAAGGCCCUACGAGUUGUAAACUGCUUUUGUACGAGGAUAAACCCCGACACGUGUAUAGGGCUGCAAGUACCGUACGAAUAAGGACCGGCUAACUCCGUGCCAGCAGCCGCGGUAAUACGGAAGACCCGAGCGUUAUCCGGAUUUAUUGGGGUUAAAGGGUGCGUAGGCGGUUCGAUAAGUUAGAGGUUAAAUGUCGGGGCUCAACCCCGGAACUGCCUCUAAUACUGGAGGACUUGAGAAUACUACAGGUAGGCGGAAUGUGUGGUGUAGCGGUGAAAUGCAUAGAUAUCA
rnacentral:rRNA from 1 species